rnacentral:rRNA from 1 species
AGAGUUUGAUCAUGGCUCAGGACGAACGCUGGCGGCGCGCCUAAUACAUGCAAGUCGAACGGACACCUUCGGGUGUUAGUGGCGGACGGGUGAGUAACACGUGGGCGACCUGCCUCCGAGUGGGGAAUAACGCUGGGAAACCAGCGCUAAUACCGCAUACGCUCACCCCUUCGUGGGGGUGAGGAAAGCUUUACGUGCUCGGAGAGGGGCCUGCGGCGGAUUAGCUAGUCGGUGGGGUCACGGCCUACCGAGGCGACGAUCCGUAGCUGGUCUGAGAGGAUGAUCAGCCACACUGGGACUGAGACACGGCCCAGACUCCUACGGGAGGCAGCAGUAAGGAAUCUUCCGCAAUGGGGGCAACCCUGACGGAGCGACGCCGCGUGGACGAAGAAGCCUUUCGGGGUGUAAAGUCCCUUUCUCGGGGAUGAGAUGGACAGUACCCGAGGAAGAAGCCUCGGCUAACUACGUGCCAGCAGCCGCGGUAAUUC